CUUAACACAUGCAAGUCGAGGGGCAGCAUGGUCUUAGCUUGCUAAGGCCGAUGGCGACCGGCGCACGGGUGAGUAACACGUAUCCAACCUGCCGUCUACUCUUGGACAGCCUUCUGAAAGGAAGAUUAAUACAAGAUGGCAUCAUGAGUCCGCAUGUUCACAUGAUUAAAGGUAUUCCGGUAGACGAUGGGGAUGCGUUCCAUUAGAUAGUAGGCGGGGUAACGGCCCACCUAGUCUUCGAUGGAUAGGGGUUCUGAGAGGAAGGUCCCCCACAUUGGAACUGAGACACGGUCCAAACUCCUACGGGAGGCAGCAGUGAGGAAUAUUGGUCAAUGGGCGAGAGCCUGAACCAGCCAAGUAGUGUGAAGGAUGACUGCCCUAUGGGUUGUAAACUUCUUUUAUAAAGGAAUAAAGUCGGGUAUGGAUACCCGUUUGCAUGUACUUUAUGAAUAAGGAUCGGCUAACUCCGUGCCAGCAGCCGCGGUAAUACGGAGGAUCCGAGCGUUAUCCGGAUUUAUUGGGUUUAAAGGGAGCGUAGAUGGAUGUUUAAGUCAGUUGUGAAAGUUUGAGGCUCAACCGUAAAAUUGCAGUUGAUACUGGAUAUCUUGAGUGCAGUUGAGGCAGGCGGAAUUCGUGGUGUAGCGGUGAAAUGCUUAGAUAUCACGAAGAACUCCGAUUGCGAAGGCAGCCUGCUAAGCUGCAACUGACAUUGAGGCUCGAAAGUGUGGGUAUCAAACAGGAUUAGAUACCCUGGUAGUCCACACGGUAAACGAUGAAUACUCGCUGUUUGCGAUAUACAGCAAGCGGCCAAGCGAAAGCGUUAAGUAUUCCACCUGGGGAGUACGCCGGCAACGGUGAAACUCAAAGGAAUUGACGGGGGCCCGCACAAGCGGAGGAACAUGUGGUUUAAUUCGAUGAUACGCGAGGAACCUUACCCGGGCUUAAAUUGCAGAUGAAUUACGGUGAAAGCCGUAAGCCGCAAGGCAUCUGUGAAGGUGCUGCAUGGUUGUCGUCAGCUCGUGCCGUGAGGUGUCGGCUUAAGUGCCAUAACGAGCGCAACCCUUGUUGUCAGUUACUAACAGGUUCCGCUGAGGACUCUGACAAGACUGCCAUCGUAAGAUGUGAGGAAGGUGGGGAUGACGUCAAAUCAGCACGGCCCUUACGUCCGGGGCUACACACGUGUUACAAUGGGGGGUACAGAGGGCCGCUACCACGCGAGUGGAUGCCAAUCCCCAAAACCUCUCUCAGUUCGGACUGGAGUCUGCAACCCGACUCCACGAAGCUGGAUUCGCUAGUAAUCGCGCAUCAGCCACGGCGCGGUGAAUACGUUCCCGGGCCUUGUACACACCGCCCGUCAAGCCAUGGGAGCCGGGGGUACCUGAAGUGCGUAACCGCGAGGAGCGCCCUAGGGUAAAACUGGUGACUGGGGCUAAGUCGU
rnacentral:rRNA from 1 species